rnacentral:rRNA from 1 species
CUCUUGUUUAAAGCAGAGGAUGCAAACCACAAGCUCCGUUCCAAGUCCUUUGGAAAAGGGCAUCAUAGAGAGUGAAAAUCUCGUAGGCUCGGAUGCACUGUCCAUGUUUUCCUCCUUCGAAGAGUCGAGUUGUUUCCCAAUGCAGCUCUAAGUGGGACGUAAAUUUGUUCCAAAGCUAAAUAUCAGCUAGAGACCGAUAGCGCACUUCUAGAGUGAUCGAAAGAUGAAAAGCACUUUGUUUUGAGAGUUCCCCCGCACGUGAAAUUGUUGAAAGGGAAGCUGUAGCAGCCAGACAUGAUGACGAGGUUCAGCCUUAUGGUGUAUUCCUGCUCAUCAGGCUAGCAUCAGUUUGGACAGGCGGAUAAAGGACACGGGAAUGUGACUCUUCGGAGUGUUAUAGCCGAUUCAGCAUGGCAGUUGUUCAGACUGACCAACGCUUAUAGGAUGC